AUGCCUAUUCUUUAUCCAUCUAAAAAAUACCCUAGCAGCAGCCAUCGUCGUAGGCCUCCGCCGCCAGCCAAGAACGGAGCGCCGGCCGCCAGCUCCCUGCUCUCCGCCUCCCUGGAACGUCGGAUCUUGCCACCAUUCCAAACUCGCCGGCUCUCCCCACCCCCAAGGUCACAUCUCUCCCAUGGCUCCCCUCCAACCCUGAGUUCCUCGCAUAGGGCACGGACUGAAUCCGGCGUGUGGAUCCAAGGCAUGCCGCCCCUCCUCCGACUAGCCAACCAUGGUGGCGUGGUUCCUCAUGCGGUCCUCCUCCGACCAGCCAAUCAUAGCGGCGUGGUUCGUCUGACUUGCGCAGGGGCUCUUCUCUCCCAUCGGUCGGCGCCUCGACUUCGAAUCCUACAGCCGGCACCUCGACUUCAGCUUGCACAGACCAGCAUCCUUUGUUGCCAGAUCUUAACCACACCGAGUUCCUCCGGUCGUCGUCGUGAACCUCCAAGCAGAUAA
rnacentral:rRNA from 1 species